rnacentral:rRNA from 1 species
UACAGAGGUCUCAAGCGUUGUUCGGAUUCAUUGGGCGUAAAGGGUGCGUAGGCGGCGGGGUAAGUCAGGUGUGAAAUCCCGGAGCUUAACUCCGGAACUGCACUUGAUACUGCCUUGCUUGAGGACUGGAGAGGAGAUCGGAAUUCACGGUGUAGCAGUGAAAUGCGUAGAUAUCGUGAGGAAGGCCAGUGGCGAAGGCGGAUCUCUGGACAGUUCCUGACGCUGAGGCACGAAGGCCAGGGGAGCAAACGGG